GCGGAUAAAAUCCGCCGUCGCCGGUGCCACGGAGUUAGGCCGUGGGGUCCAGAUUGUGAAAAUGCCCGGAG
rnacentral:sRNA from 12 species